UACGUAGGGUGCGAGCGUUGUCCGGAAUUAUUGGGCGUAAAGAGCUCGUAGGCGGUGUGUCACGUCGGCCGUGAAAACUUGCAGCUUAACUGUGGGCGUGCGGUCGAUACGGGCAUCACUGGAGUUCGGCAGGGGAGACCGGAAUUCCUGGUGUAGCGGUGAAAUGCGCAGAUAUCAGGAGGAACACCGGUGGCGAAGGCGGGUCUCUGGGCCGAUACUGACGCUGAGGAGCGAAAGCGUGGGGAGCAAACAGG
rnacentral:rRNA from 1 species